GGUGAACGCUGGCGGCGUGCCUAAUACAUGCAAGUCGAGCGAACGGACGAGAAGCUUGCUUCUCUGAUGUUAGCGGCGGACGGGUGAGUAACACGUGGAUAACCUACCUAUAAGACUGGGAUAACUUCGGGAAACCGGAGCUAAUACCGGAUAAUAUUUUGAACCGCAUGGUUCAAAAGUGAAAGACGGUCUUGCUGUCACUUAUAGAUGGAUCCGCGCUGCAUUAGCUAGUUGGUAAGGUAACGGCUUACCAAGGCAACGAUGCAUAGCCGACCGGAGAGGGUGAUCGGCCACACUGGAACUGAGACACGGUCCAGACUCCUACGGGAGGCAGCAGUAGGGAAUCUUCCGCAAUGGGCGAAAGCCUGACGGAGCAACGCCGCGUGAGUGAUGAAGGUCUUCGGAUCGUAAAACUCUGUUAUUAGGGAAGAACAUAUGUGUAAGUAACUGUGCACAUCUUGACGGUACCUAAUCAGAAAGCCACGGCUAACUACGUG
rnacentral:rRNA from 1 species